UACGUAGGUGGCAAGCGUUGUCCGGAAUUAUUGGGCGUAAAGGGCUCGUAGGCGGUUUGUCGCGUCGGGAGUGAAAACACGGGGCUUAACCCCGUGCCUGCUUCCGAUACGGGCAGACUAGAGGUAUGCAGGGGAGAACGGAAUUCCUGGUGUAGCGGUGAAAUGCGCAGAUAUCAGGAGGAACACCGGUGGCGAAGGCGGUUCUCUGGGCAUUACCUGACGCUGAGGAGCGAAAGUGUGGGGAGCGAACAGG
rnacentral:rRNA from 1 species